rnacentral:rRNA from 1 species
UACGGGGGGGCAAGCGUUGUUCGGAAUUACUGGGCGUAAAGGGCUUGUAGGUGGCCAACUAAGUCAGACGUGAAAUCCCUCGGCUUAACCGGGGAACUGCGUCCGAUACUGGAGGGCUUGAGUGUGGGAGAGGGAUGCGGAAUUCCAGGUGUAGCGGUGAAAUGCGUAGAUAUCUGGAGGAACACCAAUAGUGAAGACAGCUUACUGGGCUUAAACUGACGCUGAGGCACGAAAGUGUGGGGAUCAAACAGG